UGGCACGCUUGUUUCCUCAGAGCCCC
rnacentral:piRNA from 1 species